ACCAAGGGCAUCGGCGUUGGAUCAGGCCAGCAUCGAUUGUUUGGAGGAGGUGGUUCUUUCUGGGAAGCAGAGACUGGUAUUUUGGUCCCAGCCACCACAGCUCUGUUGGAUUGAUCUCUUCUUCGUAUCAGUGAUCGUCUCCGGUGAUUGAAGGGUGCAGAGAGGAUGCGAUGUGCUUAUUUUAGAUACUGGAUUGGGAAGUGCAGAGAAUCAAGCAAGGGUCAAGGAGUUGCUUCAUGUGGAGGAAUCAAAACUAGAGGAGGAUGAGGGAAAUACCACUCCAGCAGUGAGAUGGGUUCGAGAUGAUAAAUAUGAUUGCAUCCGAUUAAAGCAUUGCAAGGUUGUGACAAAAAUUGAUUGGCAUCGGAAAGGAGACUAUUUCACUACUGUCGUUCCUAGUGAUAUCCUAAUUAUGAAUUUUAGUUGUACUUAUUUUUAGUCAUUCCUAGUGCCUAUUUUAUAUCUCAGUUUUGUUUCUUUCUUUUUUCUAAUACACACUGACAAAUUGGAAAUAUAUAAAAAUCAUGACAUUAUACCUAGUUACCUAGCCUUUGAGGCUGGAAUCAGGAUGAAACCUAAAGUGCCCUGAAAAGUUUAGGCAUACCAAAUUCUCUCAGUUUAAUGACAGAGGUGUUUUAGAUUGUAAAUUUCAUCCGAGGCAGCCAUGGCUAUUCA